UGCAGUCGAGCGGACAGAUGGGAGCUUGCUCCCUGAAGUCAGCGGCGGACGGGUGAGUAACACGUGGGCAACCUGCCUGUAAGACUGGGAUAACUCCGGGAAACCGGGGCUAAUACCGGAUGAUUCUUUCCCUCACAUGAGGGAAAGCUGAAAGAUGGUUUCGGCUAUCACUUACAGAUGGGCCCGCGGCGCAUUAGCUAGUUGGUGAGGUAACGGCUCACCAAGGCUACGAUGCGUAGCCGACCUGAGAGGGUGAUCGGCCACACUGGGACUGAGACACGGCCCAGACUCCUACGGGAGGCAGCAGUAGGGAAUCUUCCGCAAUGGACGAAAGUCUGACGGAGCAACGCCGCGUGAGUGAUGAAGGUUUUCGGAUCGUAAAACUCUGUUGUUAGGGAAGAACAAGUACCGGAGUAACUGCCGGUACCUUGACGGUACCUAACCAGAAAGCCACGGCUAACUACGUGCCAGCAGCCGCGGUAAUACGUAGGUGGCAAGCGUUGUCCGGAAUUAUUGGGCGUAAAGCGCGCGCAGGCGGUUCCUUAAGUCUGAUGUGAAAGCCCCCGGCUCAACCGGGGAGGGUCAUUGGAAACUGGGGAACUUGAGUGCAGAAGAGAAGAGUGGAAUUCCACGUGUAGCGGUGAAAUGCGUAGAGAUGUGGAGGAACACCAGUGGCGAAGGCGACUCUUUGGUCUGUAACUGACGCUGAGGCGCGAAAGCGUGGGGAGCAAACAGGAUUAGAUACCCUGGUAGUCCACGCCGUA
rnacentral:rRNA from 2 species